rnacentral:rRNA from 1 species
CAAGUCGAACGCGAAAGUCCCGCAAGGGGCAAGUAGAGUGGCAAACGGGUGAGUAACGCGUGGGCGACCUACCUUCGAGUGGGGGAUAACCUUCCGAAAGGAGGGCUAAUACCGCAUGACAUCCCGUGUUUGGAUACACGGACAUCAAAGCUGGGGAUCGCAAGACCUGGCGCUUGGAGAGGGGCCCGCGUCCGAUUAGCUAGUUGGUGGGGUAACGGCCCACCAAGGCUUCGAUCGGUAUCCGGCCUGAGAGGGCGGACGGACACACUGGAACUGAGACACGGUCCAGACUCCUACGGGAGGCAGCAGUAGGGAAUUGUUCGCAAUGGGCGCAAGCCUGACGACGCAACGCCGCGUGGAGGAUGAAGACCUUCGGGUCGUAAACUCCUUUCGACCGAGAUGAAUGCUCACCGGCUUAAUACGCCGGUGAAUUGACAGUAUCGAGGGAAGAAGCCCCGGCUAACUCCGUGCCAGCAGCCGCGGUAAUACGGGGGGGGCAAGCGUUGUUCGGAAUUACUGGGCGUAAAGGGUUCGUAGGUGGCCCGCUAAGUCAGACGUGAAAUCCCUCAGCUCAACUGGGGAACUGCGUCUGAGACUGGCAGGCUCGAGUGCAGGAGAGGAACGCGGAAUUCCAGGUGUAGCGGUGAAAUGCGUAGAUAUCUGGAGGAACACCGGUGGCGAAGGCGGCGUUCUGGACUGUUACUGACACUGAGGAACGAAAGCCAGGGGAGCAAACGGGAUUAGAUACCCCGGUAGUCCUGGCCCUAAACGAUGAAUGCUUGGUGUGGCGGGUAUCGAUCCCUGCCGUGCCGCAGUUAACGCGUUAAGCAUUCCGCCUGGGGAGUACGGUCGCAAGGCUGAAACUCAAGGAAUU